UACGGAGGGUGCAAGCGUUAUCCGGAUUCACUGGGGUUAAAGGGUGUGUAGGCGGGUAUUUAAGUCAGUGGUGAAAUCUCCGGGCUCAACCCGGAAACUGCCAUUGAUACUAUUUAUCUUGAAUUCUGUUGAGGUAGGCGGAAUAUAUCAUGUAGCGGUGAAAUGCUUAGAUAUGAUAUAGAACACCGAUUGCGAAGGCAGCUUACUAAACAGACAUUGACGCUGAGGCACGAAAGCGUGGGGAUCAAACAGG
rnacentral:rRNA from 1 species